CUUAUUUUGAAUACCAACAGGUGUCUGGUGUCUAAUUCGCGCUCCUCCAAGUGCACUUGUAAUAAUAAUUUGGGCUUCCUCUGAAUGUAACAAAUAUCAAUAUUUGGAUCUAGAUCAUGCCUCAACUGCUUUAUCUCUUUCAGACGGUGACCGUCUAGUUGCCCAAAUCGUUUUUCUCUUUAUUAAAAACGGCGGUGAUCCGCUAUGUGUGGGGAGGGAGAGAGGUCCCGCCUUCGCGAGAAGUAUUAUGCUUACCAUGGCAGUGUGGGGUCUGGCCCUUCUGAACUUUGUAACAAACUACCUCUUUUACAGGUAGGAUUUUGUGAGAGAUCUUACAGUAACCACAGCCUUCUAGGGUAUACAAAGUCCAGGACACAUUCAGUUCGGUUUUCCUUUUUAUUUGAUAGGAAAAACAGGUGCUUCAAAUAAUAAUAAACAAAACAAAAUUCCUUGCUCUUAAUUGAGCUCUUACUAGACAGAAAUCACUAUCUUUCCCACUUACCAAUUUUCCAAUAAAAAUGAAAUAGAUUUUCAAUAAACACAAUUGUUGUUCUCUCUCCUUCAGCUCUCCUAGCUGGCUUUUUCUCCCUCACUCUGCAGCAGGCUGAUCUCUUCUUUUAAAGGCCUGUCUGCUAAUUGACCAG